rnacentral:rRNA from 1 species
GAUGAACGCUGGCGGCGUGCUUAACACAUGCAAGUCGAACGAACGGAGAAGAAGCUUGCUUCUUCAAAGUUAGUGGCGGACGGGUGAGUAACGCGUGGGUAACCUGCCCUACAGAGGGGGAUAACGUUUGGAAACGAACGCUAAUACCGCAUAAACUAUGGAUUGCUGCAUGGCAAUUAUAGCAAAGAUUUAUCGCUGUAGGAUGGACCCGCGUUGGAUUAGCUAGUUGGUGAGAUAACAGCCCACCAAGGCGACGAUCCAUAGCCGGCCUGAGAGGGUGAACGGCCACAUUGGGACUGAGACACGGCCCAAACUCCUACGGGAGGCAGCAGUGGGGAAUAUUGCACAAUGGGCGCAAGCCUGAUGCAGCGACGCCGCGUGAAGGAUGAAGGUCUUCGGAUUGUAAACUUCUAUCAGCAGGGAAGAAUAAAUGACGGUACCUGACUAAGAAGCUCCGGCUAACUACGUGCCAGCCGCCGCCGUAACAC